CCUACGUGUGGCUGCAGUGGGGAAUAUUGGACAAUGGGCGAAAGCCUGAUCCAGCCAUGCCGCGUGUGUGAAGAAGGCCUUCGGGUUGUAAAGCACUUUCAGUGGGGAAGAAAGCCUUGGGGCUAAUACCCUCGAGGAAGGACAUCACCCACAGAAGAAGCACCGGCUAACUCCGUGCCAGCAGCCGCGGUAAUACGGAGGGUGCGAGCGUUAAUCGGAAUUACUGGGCGUAACGCGCGCGUAGGCGGUCUGAUAAGCCGGUUGUGAAAGCCCCGGGCUCAACCUGGGAACGGCAUCCGGAACUGUCAGGCUAGAGUGCAGGAGAGGAAGGUAGAAUUCCCGGUGUAGCGGUGAAAUGCGUAGAGAUCGGGAGGAAUACCAGUGGCGAAGGCGGCCUUCUGGACUGACACUGACGCUGAGGUGCGAAAGCGUGGGUAGCAAACAGGAUUAGAUACCCGAGUAGUC
rnacentral:rRNA from 1 species